GAGCAGCCCCUGAAGGCAUCAGGAGCGCAGAGCGUCUGUGCGAGGUGGAUGAGGAGAUUAUCCUCCUCUAGUGACUCCACUGAGACUCUACUGAGUGUUAACACGGAUCCUAACAGACAGCAGCUGCUUUGUGACACAACAUGGGAAACGCCAACACCAAACUUCACUUCAGGAAAGCUGUGAUUCAACUCACAACCAAAACACAGCCCGUAGAAGCCACAGACGAUGUCUUCUGGGAUCAGUUCUGGGCCGACACCUGCACCACCGUCCAGGACGUCUUCGCUCUGGUGCCGGCGGCAGAGAUCAGAGCCGUCAGAGAGGAGUCUCCGUCCAACCUGGCAACCCUCUGCUACAAGGCGGUGGAGCGGUUGGUCCAGAGUGCCGACACCGGCUGCCCCUCAGAGAGAGAGCGUCAGAUCGUCCUGAACUGCACCCGCCUGCUCACCCGCAUCCUGCCCUACAUCUUUGAGGACGCCGACUGGAGAGGCUUCUUCUGGUCCACAGUGCCCGGAGCCGGAAGAUCGGGGCAUCUGGACGAAGACGGCGUUGAUGAUGAAGCGCGGCCGCUGGCUGAAUCCCUGCUGCUCGCCAUCGCUGACCUGCUCUUCUGUCCAGAUUUCACCGCUCAGAGCCACAAGAGGAGCAGCCCGGAUCCAGCCGAGGACAUUCGAACCAUAGACAGCUGUGAGUACAUCUGGGAGGCCGGCGUGGGCUUCGCUCAGUCACCUCCUCUAAACUACGUCCACGACCUCAACAGGACGGAGCUGCUGAAGUUGCUCCUCACCUGUCUGUCUGAGGCCAUGUACCUUCCUCCGUCCUCUGAGAGCAGGAACUUCAAUCCCUGGGUCUCCUUCUUCUGCUCCACAGAAAACAGACACGCCCUGCCUCUGUUCACCUCCCUGCUCAACGUGGUGUGUGCCUACGACGCCGUCGGGUACGGCAUCCCGUACAACCACCUGCUGUUCUCCGACCACCGGGAGCAGCUGGUGGAGCAGGCGGUCCAGAUCCUUAUCGUCACCCUGGAGUAUGAGGCCGCGUCGGCCGCCAGCGCCGCCCUCCAGGCCCUGGACACCUCCGCAUCCCCCUCAGCUGUGGAGGAGCAGGAGGCAGCCGGACCUGAUAACCUCUUUGUGAAUUAUCUCUCCAGGAUACACAGAGAAGAGGACUUGAGCUUCAUCCUGAAAGGUCUGGGUCGGCUGAUGAACAAUCCUCUGGUCCAGACUUACCUGCCUCACUCCGCCAAGAAGAUCCAGUUCCACCAGGAGCUGCUGAUCCUCUUCUGGAAGUUCUGUGACUUCAACAAGAAAUUCCUGUUCUUCGUGCUGAAGAGCAGCGACGUGUUGGACGUGCUGGUUCCCAUCCUCUUCAGCCUGGACGAUGCCAGAGCGGACCAGUCACGUGUGGGUCUCAUGCACAUCGGCGUGUUCAUCCUCCUGCUGUUGAGUGGAGAGAGGAACUUCGGCGUCCGUCUGAACAAACCGUACACUCUCCGCGUCCCGAUGGACAUUCCUGUUUUCACAGGAACCCACGCUGACCUGCUCAUUGUGAUCUUCCAUAAGAUCAUCACCAGUGGACACCAGCGGCUCCAGCCUCUGUUUGACUGCCUGCUCACAAUAAUAGUGAACAUUUCACCUUAUCUGAAGAGCCUCUCCAUGGUGGCGUCCAACAAGCUGCUCCACCUCCUGGAGGCCUUCUCUUCACCCUGGUUCCUCCUCUCCUCCCCCCAGAACCACCACCUGGUCUUCUUCCUGCUGGAGGUCUUCAACAACAUCAUCCAGUAUCAGUUUGAUGGUAACUGCAACCUGGUGUACGCCAUCAUCAGGAAGCGUAACGUCUUCCACCAGUUGGCCAACCUGCCAUCCGACACGGCGUCUAUUCAGAGGGUACUGCAGAAGAAGAAGAAGUCUGGGAUUUCCAGGGCCAACUCUAAAGAGACAGAGUCCAAGGAGGGCUCCAGAACUGCUGGACCUGCUGAGCCGGGCACACUCAAAGCCAGCUUAGAGGCCACUCCAGGAAUCGAUAAGAUAACAGAGAGGUCCCAGGUGAGCCUGGACGGUACCAUGGUGGCUGUGCCUUAUCCAGACUCUCCACGGACGACUGCUGACAGCAGCGCCGGAGCCGGAGCCAGCGACACCGAGUCCAACUCCGAGAGAGACCACGAGGUCUACCACACCGAGUCCGAGGCAGCGAGGAGUCGGUUGUCGAGUGCGUCAUCAGCAGUAGCAGCAGCCUGGAGCGCUAACACAGACUGGGUGUUGUCAUGGAAGGCGAAACUUCCUCUACAGACCAUCAUGCGGCUGUUACAAGUCCUGGUCCCUCAGGUGGAGAAGAUUUGCAUCGACAAGGGUUUGACAGACGAGUCAGAAAUCCUGAAGUUCCUUCAGCACGGCACGCUGGUCGGCCUCCUGCCCGUCCCUCAUCCCAUCCUCAUCAGGAAGUACCAAGCCAACGCCGGCACGGCCAUGUGGUUCCGCACCUACAUGUGGGGAGUCAUCUACUUACGGUGAACGAGCUGAACACGAGCUUCUCUAUGAAACCUGUUGGAUCCAGAUAAAAAUGACAAAGGAGCAGUAGUAGAUAGUAGUACAACGUGGAUCCUCCAAUCUGGUACGACACGGACAUCCGGCUCUUUGAGAUCCAGAGGAUUUAGAGCAGCUGUUGACUUUGUUCUUUUCACCAACAACGAGAUCUGCAGGUUUUUUUUCCUCACACCUGAACUGUUGAUCGGAGGAACUUUUCACACCUUUCUGGUGUUAUUUAAAGAAAACAAGCAGCAAUAAUCUCGUUCUUCAUUCUUCCUGACAACUUUCAGGGUUCAGACACAAAAAAAGGAAGAAUGUCUAAAUGUGUCAAAACAUUAGUUACCGUGUAUCACAUACAACCUGUACGACGAGCAAUGCCAAACGGUCAUUAAAUUUGACUUCAUCUUGAAA